rnacentral:lncRNA from 1 species
CGCUCUGUUGCCCAGGCUGGAGCACAGUGGUGUGACCCUGGCUCACUGCAACCUUUGUCUCCCGAGUUCAAGCGAUUCUCCUGCCUCAGCCUCCUGAGUAGCUAGGAUUACAGGCACAUGCUACCAAACCUGGCUAAUUUUUGUAUUUUUAGUAGAGAUGGGGUUUCACCAUGUUGAUCAGACUAGUCUCAAACUCUUGACCUUGUGAAAUUUUUGUAUUUUUAGUAGAGACGGGGUUUCACCAUAUUGAUCAGGUUGGUCCCAAACUCCUGACCUCAGGUGAUCCACCUGACUUGGCCUCCCAAAGUGCUAGGAUUACAGGCGUGAGCCGCCGUGCCCAGCCAGAACACAUAUAGUCUCUUAAGAAGAAAAAAAUUAACUACUGAUUAUUAUUAAGAAGUUACUGUCCUAAAUUUUUAGAAACGCAUACUCACGUAUUUAGGGAUGAACUGUCAUGAAAUCUGUAAACCACUUUAAAAUAUUUAAUUAAGCAAAAAACAAUGAAGCAAGCCAGAUACAGUGGCUUAUGCCUAUAAUCCCAGCAGUUUGGAAAGCCGAGGCGGGAUAAUUGCUUGAGCCCAGGAGUUCGAGACCAGCCUGAGCAAGAUGGCAAGACCCUGUCUCUACAAAGAGUAAGAAAAUUAGCCAGGCCUGGUGGCACAUGACUGUAGUCCCCACUACUUGGGAGGCUGAGGUGUGAAAACAGCUUGAAUCCAGGAAUUCAAGGUGGCAGUGAGCUUUGAUCCUGCCACUGCUCUCCAGCCUGGGUAACAAAACAAGACCCCAUCUCUAAAAAUAUUAAAUUGGGCCGGGUGCUGUGGCUCACACCUAUAAUCCAGCACUUUGGGAGGCACAGGUGGGUGGAUCACCUAAGGUCAGGAGUUCGAGACUAGCCUGGCCAACAUGGUGAAACCCUGUCUCUACUAAAAAUACAAAAAUUAGCCGGGCCUAGUGGCGCAUUCCUGUAAUCCCAGCUACUCAAGAGGCUAAGGCAGGAAAAUCGCUUGAACCCAGGAGGCAGAGGUUGCAGUGAGCCGAGAUCAUGCCAUUGCACUCCAACCUGGGUGACAAGAGCGAAACUCUGUCUCAAAAAAAUAAAAAAUACAAAAUAAAUUUAAAAAGUUAGAAAAUUAAGGAAAUAUGGCAAAAAUGUUAGCAGUUAAUAAAUCUCAAUGGUAGAGAUAGAGGGAGUUACAUAUUAUUUACUUUUCAGUGUUUGAAAAUUUUCUUAAUAAAAAUUUGUAUAGGUUUAAGAAAGAAAAAGUGAAUAGCUGAUUAUCAUUUUUCUUCACUUAAGAACUUUAAACACAGAAUUUAAAUUUUUCAUAUUUUUUGAAAAUUAACAUAUAUUUAUUACAGUGCCAAAUCUCAUGAGUCCCUGUCUCAUAAUCUAAGACCAGGCUACUCUGAAAGAGGACAGAGUUCACUGCCUAAUCCAACACUGGCUGUAGUGUAAAUGCAACACAGGUGAUUUUUGCCCCAGUUCCAAGGCUACCUAACUAGCUAUGUGGGCCUUAGUCACCCUUAAAGGAAGAUGGUUGCAACUAUGCCAGUUAGAACAUUUUUCUGCUCUGCUUCCACAGUGGCACUCACAAGAGGAGGACUUGAUUUUAUAGCUUGUGUACAGGAGAAUAUAAAGUUGGCUUCAAAGGAGGUAGGAUAGGUUUGGCAUUUUUCUCCUCAUAAUGUUUCCUGAAGCAUGAAAGGAUCCUUGAUCAGAAGAGUGCUCAGUUCUAAUUUCUAAAAUUUGCUGGCUUAAUAUUUUUAAAGAUUCAAUUCUCCAUAUGAGUAAGUUAGCGUGUAUCAUCAAAAACUAUCUAGAACUGUGUGCAGAGACUGUUACUGGUUUUCCAAGUUGUAUAUUUUUGAGUAUCUUAAAAUAUUUCAUCAACUUUCUAAAACAUCAAGAAAAGCUCUCUAUACAAAUACCAUGGUUGAUUUUAAUUAUUUUGUUUUCCAUCCUUUUAAAAAUAUUUUCUGCUUUGCAUCCCAUUAUUAUUUUGAGUUUCUUUUCAUUUGUAGUUUGUUGUUCAUUGUGUUGUUUUACAGCUAAGAUUCAUUUCAUACGUUUGAUGCUUAGCUGAAAAAUUACAAUAAAUUCUCCAAUGAAAUUAUGUAUCUUUAUUUAAUGAAAAUGCCUGCUGCGUACCAAGGUAUGUACUAGGGCAUCUGGGGUAAGUAAAAACAAACACAUAGAGCCUGCCUGGAG